AUAUAUACUCAAAGGAAUACACUCACUAUAGUGCCUUCCACUAUGAUCGGAACGCAGCCUAUUGAUAAGAUCACAUCACACAAUCUUUCACAGAAUUUCAUAAGCACUAUACAUAAAAAUACAAAAUAUGCUUAGAUCUGUCAUUACAACUUAUGAUUUUAAAAAAAUAUGUAAAUAUAAUAAUUGAAACUUGGUGAUUUAUAUAAAAUAUGGAUUUAACUACAAACGAACAUUUAGAGAUAAAAAACGAUUUUCAUUCAUCCAAUCAUGAAUGGACUUGGGAUGAAAAACUGUCAACUUCAUCCAUUAAAUUAUCAGAUAACAACUUAAAUGUUAUAUUUCAUCCUAUAUAUAGCACUGGUACAGCCGUCGCAAAAGGUAAUAAACCAUUAGAGAAAGGAAGGCAUCAUUUUUGGGAGAUUUUAAUGAUAACACAUAUAUAUGGCACUGAUGUAAUGGUUGGUGUAGGAACUGCAAAUGCCAAGAUUUAUGAUGCAAGUGAUAAUUUUUGUGCUCUGCUCGGACGAGAUCAAGAAUCUUGGGGUUUUUCAUAUAAAGGAUAUUUGCAGCACGACGGUAAAACAUGUAAAUAUGGGACAAGCUUUGGUCAAGAUAACUUGGUAGGAAUUCAUCUUGACACUUGGAUUGGCACGUUACAAUUUUUUAUCAAUCGAAAACCAUUGGGUAUGGCUUUUACAAAGUUAAACAAUUUUACACUUUAUCCAUUAGUGAGCUCAACAAUGGCUCAAUGUGUAAUGAAAUUAACCUAUAGUUGUUCAACACCAGCAUCUCUACAAACUACUUGUCUCGCAGUUUUGUCACCUUCACAGAAAGCACAUUUAUCAAAAAAUUUUCCUGGUUUGCGUUAUCUCACUCAAAAUAUCUUUGCUGAUAUACUACAAAAAUCUAUUGAUUGUGAUAAUGAGGACGACUUUGAAUUUCCUGCAGAGUAUAUUAUUUUAGAUGAUUUUGAUUACGCACUUGUUGGAAUAAAGAAGAAAAAGCAUUUUUAGUGAUACACAGGUUAAAGUUUUAUAUCGAGAGGACAACAGAAAAACAAAAAUCCAAAUCACAUGCGACACUUUCACGCGCAUGUGGUGUAAACAGAGGACGCGAGACGGCGGGACACGACCGUAGCGCAGCUACAAACGCUCCAUAGUGUUUGUAGCGUUUACUGGACCGCAGCCUAUACGAGUUUUGGAACAUAUUAUGAGUGUUUGAUAAAAUAUUACAUCCCUGAGAAUUGCUAUUGACAUCCUCGGAAGAAGAAUACGUCAUUAUUUUAUGGCAAUCUCUCACGUUCUAUACCCUUAAUAAGGAACAUUAUCUCAAUAAAGCACUUUGAUUGAAGCACGUCGAAGAAGAUUUUACCUAUGAAAUCCGCCGACGCAGUCCCGGCCAUUUUUAAACACGUGCGAAAUCUAUAAUAUGCAAAAACAAAUAAAAAAUAUGAUAAUAUUGUUACAAGUGUUAAAAUUGUACAAAUUGUUGCACGUAUUAAUAAUAAAUGUUGUGAUGUUUGCAAACAUCAAACAAUUUGUCUCGAAAAUAA
rnacentral:misc_RNA from 1 species